CCCUCUUCUCGGCCUUUUGGCUAAGAUCAUGUGUAGUAUCUGUUCUUAUCAGUUUAAUAUCUGAUACGUCCUCUAUCCAAAACACUUUAAAAUUAAACAUGUUUUUCCAUUGAGAAGAAUGAUU
rnacentral:sRNA from 1 species